AUUGAACGCUGGCGGCAGGCCUAACACAUGCAAGUCGAGCGCGCGGCGGACGGGUGAGUAAUAUAUGGGGACUGACCGAUAGAGGGGGAUAAAUACAGGGAACGGUAGCUAAUAACCCAUAAUACCGGAUAACCCCUAUGGGAUUAGCUAGUAGGUGAGGUAAUGGCUCACUUAGGCGACGAUACCUAGCUGGUCUGAGAGGAUGAUCAGCCACACGGGGACUGAGACACGGCCCAGACUCCUACGGAGGCAGCAGUGGGGAAUAUUGCACAAUGGGCGCAAGCCUGAUGCAGCCAUGCCGCGUGUAUGAAGAAGGCCCUAGGGUUGUAAAGUACUUUCAGUCGGGAGGCGUUACCGACAGAAGAAGCACCGGCUAACUCCGUGCCAGCAGCCGCGGUAAUAC
rnacentral:rRNA from 1 species